UCUCUCUGAUUUCUCUGAUUUCUCUGAUUUUUCUCAUUUCUCUAAACCCUAAUCCUCUCAAAUAUCAACUCAAUCUCUCAUGAAUCAUGAUCCUCUCUGUCUAUUGAACCUCUCAUCUACCUAAAUCUCUCAUAUUUUCUGUCGAUUAAAUCCUAUCAUCUUCAACCCUAGCCCUAGCAGUUUCCUAUCAUGUUCCUCUCUAUGGUUCUCAUACUUUCUGUCGAUUGAAGCUCUCAUCUUCCUCUCGAAGGCUUUGUGGUUCUCUCUUCUCUGUCACCUGGUUCGCAGAGCUUUAAUCAAAGGAAGUGAUGGUUGCAUGUUAGGGUUUUGGUUUGCUGAGAUUUAAUCGAUGGAUUUUUAAGGGAUCUGGGUAUUUCUCUGUAAUAGACUGAGAUUUAAGGCUUUGGUGGAAGCUUAUUAAUUUCGAUUGAGUUGUGAGAAAGCUUUGGUGGAAGUUUAUUGAAUUCGGUUGUAAGGUA